AUUGAACGCUGGCGGCAGGCCUAACACAUGCAAGUCGAACGAGUGGCGGACGGGUGAGUCCUGUCUGUGUAACUGCUCGUUGGAGGGGGCUACCUACUGCAAACGCUAGCUCAUCCCCCAUCCCAUCGCAUCUGACCCGAUGUGAUUAGCUAGUAGGUGGGGUAACGGCCAACCUAGGCGACGAUCCCUAGCGGGUCUGAGAGGAUGACCAGCCAAACUGGAACUGAGACACGGUCCAGACUCCUACGGGAGGCAGCAGUGGGGAAUAUUGCACAAUGGGCGCAAGCCUGAUGCAGCCAUGCCGCGUGGAUGAAGAAGGCCUUCGGGUUGUAAAGUACUUUAAGCGAGGAGGCGUUACUAGCAGAAGAAGCACCGGCUAACUCCGUGCCAGCAGCCGCGGUAAUUC
rnacentral:rRNA from 1 species